rnacentral:rRNA from 1 species
CGGGUGAGUAACACGUGGAUAAUCUGCCCUGCACAGGGGGACAACAGCUAGAAAUGGCUGCUAAUACCGCAUAAGCCUACAGCCUCGCAUGAGGGAGUAGGAAAAGAAAUUCGGUGCAGGAUGAGUCCGCGUCUGAUUAGCUAGUUGGAGGGGUAAAAGCCCACCAAGGCAACGAUCAGUAGCCGGCCUGAGAGGGCGGCCGGCCACAUUGGGACUGAGACACGGCCCAAACUCCUACGGAAGGCAGCAG